GUAAGAAGAAUACUUACGCACGACAUUCAGGUUACAGGAAGUCUUAAAAUCCUUAGCAUCACAAGUGUAUGUUUUAAUAUCCUCUGGGGUACAGUCAUGUAUAACAAGUUUUCUGACCCUGCCAUCAGCAACAAUUUCAUACUUCUUGCUUUUGAGGAUUUCUGUCCCAUUUUUGAACCAUUUCACCUUAGCAUUUUCUCUGGAGACUUCACACUCCAGCACUGCAGUGGCUCCCUCUUCGACCGUCUGGUCCUCAAGAGGCUUAGUGAAUUC
rnacentral:lncRNA from 1 species